ensembl:lncRNA
AUUUUUACUGAGAGAAUUAAUAUCAUGAAUUGAAUUUUGUUUAUGGCACCAGUCUCUCAGUUGUUGGAACAGUGAAGCAAGAUAAAGCUCCGAAGGUUGAUAAACCAUUUAUUUAUGCAACUUUUAUAGAAAUACAACUCCCAUGAUUUCAAAGCUUGCAUAAAAUUGUGUAGCAAUGACGGAUCUGGAUAUUUUGCUGCUUAAAAUAAGAGGAUUAUUCUGUAAGACUGCAUAAGUCAUUCAAAAUUUGACCCUUAGCUUUAGUAUGGGAAAAUAGAUUGUCAUGCAAACAAUAGCUGCAGAGCCACUGGAGGCAACUUAGAAUGCUUGCUCUAUUACAGUGCUUACUUUAUACCUCAGUUUUAUGGUAUGCAGCCAAACUGACUGAAAAAUCCAUUUCCCUGCCACAAACCAGCCAAGACAGCUUUGUUCCCGUCUUUGCUUUUCAGUAUCACCUCUUCUGUCUUCCACCUGCACUUAAAAAUACCAUUCUUCUGUAAAAUUAUUUUUAACCCAGGUCACUUUGCUACAGCGCUGCUCAAAAAGAGUUGUCAACACCAACGUAGUAAAGUGCAGACAAGAUGUUGCAUGCAGUCACAACAACCAGAAGAAAAAAACUGGCGUUGAAAUUCUGUAUAAACUACUGUGGUCUUCUUUCACGUAGCUCACAACAGCCUUGAAAACCAUCUCAUCACAAACAAGAUUUGAAUACACAGCAUUAAAAGUUGAUCCUUGGUUUGGAAAGAUGUGAAAGGUCAGAUUAAAACAUUUUUGACUGAAGGCAUUCUAUUUAAAAAUAAAAGAUCAGAAGAUGGUGCUAAAAGAGUUCCUCUAUAAUCAUUUUAGGCUCAUUUGUCAGUACUACUAUUGAACACUAAAAGAGCUAAUCUUCUUAAGCAAAUCAUUCUUUCAGCAACUUCAUGUGAAAGAGCUAAUUAUGUGUGUCGAUGGGUUAAAUUCCUUUAAGUUAAAAGUUCUAGUAGGGAAAAGUCAGGUUAGCUAUUAGAGUGUUUAUAUGCUAAACAUCCUGAUUAUUUCAGUGGGCAUUUAUUGUUAAAUCGUUCUCUAAAUCUCACCAGCUUUUUUGCAGGAUCGUGUAUGUGAACUGUUGAAUUAAGGACUUUUGUAUGAGUGCAGUACUCAGCUUUUUAAGGCUAGCCUACAUAAGUAAAACAGCUGUGUCCCUGCGUUUGGAAAAGAAGAUAAUCACUGUGUACUGAUCUGAGUUUAAGGAAAAGAUUGAUGUCUUGAUGAGCUCUCAUCUUACUAAGUACUUCUAUUGCCACCAUUCUUUUCUGAUAAGCCUCAAAGCACUUUGCUAAUACUAAUGAAGACAGGUCUCUGAUUCUGUUUCUAAGAAAAGGGGUUUUAAGUUCAAUAGCCAGUUGAUUUUUUUCAUCAGAUGUGAUAAGUAAUCAAGUCUUUGAAUGGGAAAGAAUGCAAAUGUUCUUAAGCUGUGAAAUCCUGUUACUUUUAAUUUGUUAUGAAUUUGACAAGUAUUAUCCUCAAUAAGAAUAUACAAAUUUUCAGAUCUU